GCCAUGGUGGUGUAGUGGUCGAGCACGUGUCCUCGGAUAGGAUGAAACGCGGGCUAGAUUCCCGCCUGAGGCC